CUCUUGCUUUAUUUUUUUUCUUCUUUUCCUCCUUUAAGCUCCAGCACCUUGGCCAAAAGUUCCUGCUUAGCCCUUUAUGUGCCUACAGAAUCUUCACUUUAGAAUUAAACUCAGUCAGCUGGAGAUACAACUGGCUUCAUAAGAGCUGACCUUGCUCCUGGCAGGUCACAACUCAUGGAUUCAGUUAGAAUCCAUUAAGGUGACAACAUAUGACAAUAGUGCUUCUUAUGCUGACAGCAGGACAUGCAGAACAGGAUUCUGAACACCAACCAAGUCUGUCUAUCAACACUUCAUAGACUUAAUGUGUGUACAUCUAAACUAUUUGUGCCCUUUCAACCGCUCCCAGCCUUCUCGGAGUAAGACAGUGAAGAAACUGGUGCCAGGACUGACAGUGUCCCAAACAAACUCCGGCCUACAUGGCUGAGCCUGGGGAGAACUGGCCUCUUGCAGGCUGGCAGCUGGAAAGGAGCCGUGUCAAGGUAUGAUCUGUGGGUAAGCUGCAAGAGUGGUACCAGUCUACCCACUGCAAGGUGCUACCCCUCUGUUCUGAGCCACAUUUAAAAAAAAAAUCGCUCUCCGAAGUGAGUGCUUCUCAUGCAGGCCAGAGCAGUGGCUUAGCUGCUUGCCUUCUGAGCACCAACUUGAAGGCUGCUGGCAAGGAUUCACGGCUGUACCUUGAAGGCUCUGAGCACUGCCAGAGGGUCGUCGCUAAUCAGCCGGGUGACGAGAGCUGGCCAGACACGAUGAGCCAUGGGAAGCAGAUGGUUUCCAUGAGGAUGCAGGACAGUUACACAGAGCUCCAGCACAUCCAGGACCUGUGCAUGGGGGGCCCAGAAGCAAAGACACAGCAAAUCCCAGGAGAGGAAGGGUGGAAGGUUGAUACAGAGACAAGAUAACAUCCCCAUAAGCCGAG